UACGUAGGGUGCAAGCGUUGUUCGGAAUCAUUGGGCGUAAAGCGCGUGUAGGUGGUUAUUUAAGUCGAGUGUGAAAUCCCUGGGCUCAACCGAGGAAGUGCAUUCGAAACUGAAUAGCUAGAAGAUGGUAGAGGAAGGUGGAAUUCCUAGUGUAGAGGUGAAAAUUCGUAGAUAUCAAGCGGAACACCGGUGGCGAAGGCGGCCUUCUGGACAGUGACUGACGCUGAGACGCGAAAGCGUGGGGAGCAAACAGG
rnacentral:rRNA from 1 species